AAAAAAAAAAAAAAAAAAGAGACGAAAAAAACUACACGAAAAAAGACUGAAAAAAUACAAAAAAAAGGAGGCCAAACAAAUCUGGAAAAAAGGAUCCACUAUUCUGCUUCUUCUUUAAUAAAAAAUUCAAACGAACGACCCUUCCAUUUCUGAAAGCCAACAACGCGCCAUUUCUGAUUCAUUACUAACACACACAGGCACAAGACGGGAAAAUCAAACACAGUCGUUUCCUUCAUCUUCAAAUCCUUCUCUCUCUCUCUCUCUCUCUCUCUCUCUCUCUCUCUCGUUUUUCUAGUCUCAUCUCCAUCACCGGCGAGAUUCGCCUAAAGCCGGUGAAAAUUGACCCCCGUAACCUAUCAGUUACCCUUCGAUUCUCUGAGUUUCGGAACUAAGUAUACACAAAGCUUCAGUUCUUCCUCAAUCGGAAUUCAUGGAGGCAAGCCGCUUGAUUUUCAUUUGAGCCGAGGUUAUUUUCGGUUCGAGUUUCCGUCGAGGUCCCAUUCGAGGUCGUUGUUCUUCGUUUCCGUUCGAGGUUCUGUCAGGCUCUAAAUCAGUGACGUUGGUUCAUUGUCGAGAUAAAUGAAAUCAUCUGAUCCCUUGUUAUGGAAGCUAUGUAUGUAAUGGAUGUGAGGUCAUUGUCACUUAUAUGCUAAUGGGAGGAUUAUCAUUUAAUUUAUCAAACUUAGAGGAUGCUUCAGGUAUUGACUCCUCUUAAAAUCCCCUGCUUCUUCAUUUUUGGUUCGUAAAACUGGAUCAGUGAAGUUCACCUCUUUUCCUCAUCAUAAUUUCCUUCACAUCGUUUUGAAUACUUGAUGUCCAUAAUAUGUUGUCAAAUACCAUUUGUUUUAGACUGUUUAAAUGCCGAUUUAGAGUAAUCUGUUUUUACGACUAUUGUGGAUAUGAUAUAAUUAAUAUAAUCGGCCUUGUAAUUUGUGUGUGAGAUUGUGAUAAACUUGCUUGAAUUGGAAAUACUAUAUGUUGGUCCAAAAAAAGAAACAUAAUGUCAUAAUUAAUUUGUAGCAUUUUGUUUGGAUUAGAAAUUGGGAGUUGCAAUUUAAAUAGAACGUGUGAUAAUGGGUUUUGUACUAGGCAUUACACGAAAAAAUGAAUCUCGUAGUCUGCUAAUAAAUUUGAGGUGCGCCAUGCCAAAUAAAAAUAUCAAUUGCGUGGCCUUUAUUUUAAUUAUGUAUUGAUCCUUAGAAUUCAAGGCGAGUCGUUUAGUUAAAUUCCACGGCCCUCGCAAAGUACAAAUACGUUAGUCUCUUUAGGCGCGUAUUUUAAUAAUAUUACCUUCCUAAACUCGGGUGCGCAUUUAUAUGACCCAAAUCCAAAUCUCAAAGAAGUCGAAAUGUGUCAACAACCACGGGUGCAUUGAUGUGACGUGGUUCGAGACACGUUUUCACGAUGUUGCAAUUCUCGUUAAAAAUAAUAAUAAAAGCGGUUUAAGGUUAAAAAGAAUAAGAGCUAAAACAUGUUUUGAAAUCAGAUAAAUCAAAAUAUAACAGUUGAGCGACCGUGCUAGAACCACGGAACCCGGGAAUGCCUAACACCUUCUCCCGGGUUAACAGAAUUUCAUACUCGGAUUUCUGGUUCGCGGACUGUUUAACAGAGUCAUAUUUUCCUCUGUUCGGGAUUCAACUGGUGACUUGGUACACCAUUAAUCUCCCAAGUGGCGACUCUAAUAAUUAAUAAUAAAUUCCGUUCUGAUUGUCCUUUAAGUGGAAAAACUCCUUUAUACCCAUGCAGGUGUAGUAAAAAAGGAGGUGUGACAGGUGUUGCCAUAGGUUCUACUCCAUACACCAUAUUUUGUAAUGCUUUAUACGUUGGGUUUGGUAUAAUGUUGAUAUAGGAAGAUAGAGUGAUUACUUAUGCAUCACGGAAAUUGAAG
rnacentral:lncRNA from 1 species